rfam:Subdoligranulum variabile DSM 15176 genomic scaffold Scfld0, whole genome shotgun sequence.
UGGGGAUUCGCAUAAUGGUAGUGCAGCGGACUCUGACUCCGCCCGUGGGAGUUCGAUCCUCUCAUCCCCAA